rnacentral:rRNA from 1 species
GAUGAACGCUGGCGGCGUGCCUAAUACAUGCAAGUCGAGCGAACAGAUAAGGAGCUUGCUCCUUUGAAGUUAGCGGCGGACGGGUGAGUAACACGUGGGUAACCUACCUAUAAGACUGGGAUAACUUCGGGAAACCGGAGCUAAUACCGGAUAACAUUUAGAACCGCAUGGUUCUAAAGUGAAAGAUGGUUUUGCUAUCACUUAUAGAUGGACCCGCGCCGUAUUAGCUAGUUGGUAAGGUAACGGCUUACCAAGGCGACGAUACGUAGCCGACCUGAGAGGGUGAUCGGCCACACUGGAACUGAGACACGGUCCAGACUCCUACGGGAGGCAGCAGUAGGGAAUCUUCCGCAAUGGGCGAAAGCCUGACGGAGCAACGCCGCGUGAGUGAUGAAGGGUUUCGGCUCGUAAAACUCUGUUAUUAGGGAAGAACAGAUGUGUAAGUAACUGUGCACAUCUUGACGGUACCUAAUCAGAAAGCCACGGCUAACUACGUG